AACGAACGCUGGCGGCAUGCCUAACACAUGCAAGUCGAACGAGACCUUCGGGUCUUGGGUCCCACGAGUGCGUAACGCGUGGGAACCUGCCCAUAGGUUCAGAAUAACUCCCCGAAAGGGGUACUAAUACCGGAUAAUAUCUUCUGACCAAAGAUUUAUCGCCUUUGGUGGGUCCCGAGUUGGAUUAGGUAUUUGGUAGGGUAAAAGCCUACCAAGGCGACGAUCCAUAGAUGGUCUGAGAGGAUGAUCAGCCACACUUGGACUGAGACACGGCCCAGACUCCUCCGGGAGGCAGCAGUGGGGAAUAGUGGAAAAUGGGGGAAAGCCUGAUCGAGUAAUGCUGCGUGAAUUAUGAAGGCCUUAGGGUUGUAAAGCUCUAUUAACUGGGAUGAUAAUGACAGUACCGAGAGAAUAAGCCACGGCUAACUACGUG
rnacentral:rRNA from 1 species